rnacentral:rRNA from 1 species
GUCCACGCUGUAAACGAUGAAUACUAGGUGUGGGGACUGACCCCUUCCGUGCCGCAGUUAACACAAUAAGUAUUCCACCUGGGGAGUACGAUCGCAAGAUUGAACUCAAAGGAAUUGACGGGGCCCGCACAAGCAGUGGAUUAUGUGGUUUAAUUCGACGCAACGCGAAGAACCUUACCGGGAUUUGACAUCCUACUAACGAAGCAGAGAUGCAUUAGUUGCCCUUCGGGGAAAGUAGAGACAGGUGGUGCAUGGUUGUCGU